UCUAGGUUUGGUUAAAACCAGAAAGUGCCUUUUUCAGGAGCCAAGAAGGGACUUUGUGUGCACUCUUCUUUAAUCUUUUCCCGCUCAGACAUAUGCACAAACACUUUGUUUACAAACAAACAAAAUCUGUUGAUACUACUACUACAAUAGUAUAAAAUAGAGACGAUGAAGUUCGUUCUGGUUACAGGAGGAGUUGUGAGUGGACUGGGUAAAGGCGUCACAGCCAGCAGCGUAGGCGUCGUCCUCAAGGCCUGUGGUCUUCGCGUCACUUCCAUCAAAAUUGAUCCAUACCUUAAUACGGAUGCUGGUACCAUGUCUCCCUUUGAACAUGGCGAAGUUUUUGUUCUUGACGAUGGUGGAGAGGUGGAUUUAGAUUUGGGUAACUAUGAACGAUUCCUGGAUGUUACUCUCACGAGAGAUAACAACAUCACCACUGGAAAGAUAUAUCAGUCUGUCCUUGAGAAGGAACGGAGAGGUAAUUAUCUUGGAAAGACAGUUCAGGUGGUUCCUCACAUCACAGACGCCAUUAAGAAUUGGAUUGAGUCCGUUGCUGCUAUUCCUGUGGACGGUAAAGAGGGCCCAGCAGAUGUUUGUGUGAUUGAGUUGGGAGGAACUGUUGGGGACAUUGAAUCAAUGCCAUUCAUUGAGGCUUUGCGACAACUAUCAUUUUCAGUUGGUCAAGAUAACUUUUGUCUCAUUCAUGUGAGCCUGAUACCUGUGCUGGGUGUUGUUGGCGAGCAAAAAACUAAGCCUACACAGCACAGUGUUCGGGAAUUGAGAGCAUUAGGGUUGACACCUCAUCUGUUGGCAUGUCGCUCUGCCCAGCCUCUGUUGGCAAAUACAAAGGAGAAACUUUCUCAAUUCUGCCAUGUCCCGAUUGCUAAUAUUCUCAACAUUCAUGACGUUCCAAACAUUUGGCACAUUCCUCUCUUACUUCGGAGCCAAAAUGCUCAUCAUUCAAUUCUACAACAGCUAAAUUUGCUGAGCAUUGCUGCACCUUCAGAUUUACAAGCUUGGACAAAGAUGGCCGAGACUUAUGAUAAUAUCACGAAUUCUGUGAGGAUUGCUAUGGUUGGGAAGUAUGUUGGCCUUACUGACUCGUAUCUGUCCGUUGUGAAGGCCCUUUUGCAUGCCUGCAUCGCAUGUUCCCUGAAGCCAUCAAUCGACUGGAUUGCAGCUUCUGAUCUUGAAGAUGAUAGUGCGAACUUGACACCAGAAGCUCAUGCGGCUGCAUGGGAGACUUUGAGGAAUGCAGAAUGUGUCUUAGUUCCUGGUGGAUUUGGAGAUCGUGGUGUGAAAGGAAUGAUAUUGGCUGCAAAGUAUGCUAGAGAGAAUAAUGUACCCUAUCUUGGGAUUUGCUUGGGCAUGCAGAUUUCUGUAAUUGAGUUUGCUAGAUCCGUUCUGGGUUUAGAAAGGGCAAACAGUUCAGAGUUUGAUACCGAGAGUCCGGAUAAUGUUGUAAUUUUCAUGCCUGAGGGUUCAAGAACACAUAUGGGAAGCACAAUGAGACUAGGUUCUCGAAAAACAAUAUUCCAGACCCAUGAUUGCCUUUCUUCGAAAUUGUAUUGUAAUCCCAAGUAUGUGGAUGAACGGCAUCGCCACAGAUAUGAGGUGAACCCUGAGGUAAUUGGGGCUCUUGAAGAAGCUGGGCUAAAAUUUGUAGGGAAGGAUGAAACUGGAAAACGAAUGGAGAUUUUGGAGCUUCCAGGUCAUCCAUAUUAUGUAGGAUCUCAGUUCCAUCCAGAGUUCAAAUCGCGACCCGGGAGGCCCUCUCCUAUGUUUUUAGGUUUAAUAUUGGCGGCAACAAAGCAGUUGGAAGCAUAUCUUAAUACACAUCAGAAUGGAAGUUAAUCUAGAAGUUUUUACCAUCUAGAUGUUCUACAUCAUUCUUACAAUUACUAGAUAGGUUGUGAUCAAAUUUAUUGAGUUCUUUUUCCCUUCCCUUCAUUUGGACAUGCAAGCCACCUCCCAGGAUGAAGCAUCGGAGUGUGUUUAAGAAAAUUUUGUUGUACUUUAGGCUGAAUUAGUAUUGUCCCCAUAUAUAUAAAUUUGGCAUAGCGUGUGUGAUGUUCAAGCCUUCUGAACACUGAUACUAAGGAUUGGACGAUUUGCUAAUUGCAAAUUCACUAACUAUGCAAUUGUCACCAUAAAUCUUGUUUUUCUCCCUUUACCAAGCAUUAGAAAUUUGAAAGUAUUCCAUAAUAUGGUUUGGUUUGAUAAUGCAUUGCAGACUGAAAUUGUGGUUGAUUAACAAUUAAAGAGUCAAAGGGAAUGAAAUAUUCACUUGUUCAAAAAUAU